CUAUUUUGGGACACCCUAAUGAAUACGCAUGUUACCCAUUUCGAGACAUACAUUUUCCAGGAACACUGUUAAGCUGUAGACUGAAUAAUAGAGGUAAAACGGUGAAACCGGGAUUGAUUGCACCUCGGCAGUGCGAUAUCCCAAUAAUGUAAUGCUAUCCAAACAACUUACUUUGCCUACCUGCCGGACCCGCCAACAGCCGGUCAACCCCAACUCUUUGCUGCUCAGUUUUGCAUACAAUUAGACUGGCAAUUAACUCUAAUUAACUGUGUGUGACGACGGCGAUGGUUGUAGCUUACUACGCGACGGCGGCGAUCAUAUCGUGGAAGGCAACGACGACGAUGGCUUCAAAGUGGUAAUUUCCAGCUCACCCUAUUAUCAACGAAUUCCCAACUCAGGUGCUGGGCCGCGCGGUGCAACCAAGAAGGCAUUCGGAAUCAGUGAUUUGAUUGGAAAACAUCGAUCGAACAAGGUUCGCGGCGCAAUCAGUGUUUUGAAACAUUUGCGAGGGAAAUAGUAAGCAAAUCGAAUGCUGUGGAAAAGUGAUUUAUGUUUUUGUGAGAUUUAUAAAUUCUGAAAGUGCCGCUCGGAACGCUAAUUGACGUAAUAAAUCCAGAUCAAUCAAUCGGUCUGCUCGUGUGUGUGAAAAUGGCCCACAGGUGGUCGCUAACGGGCGGUGGUAGCCCUGCCAGUAAAGAGUGCGGGGAUGAAUUUGAAAUUGCAGUUCUGUUGAAUCGAGCGGCUUCCACAUCGUCACCAGUGCGGAUCAUGGGUGACGAUAGUGAAAGGGGGCCAAUUGGAUCAGAUCGUGAUGUUGUUGUUGGUGGUGGUGAUGGCAGUGAUGCUGAUGAUGAUGAUGAUGGUGGUGAUUUGCAUCAGCACCGGCAACAUAAUGAUCGCACUUCCGGUGUCGAUGACGAUGGUGAUAGCGAUGACGAGGAGAGGAUUAUGAUUUUCGACGAGCAGCGGCCCCUUCGGAGCAAACGAAAUGGAAAUGCCAAAGUGAAGAUGUUCAAAUCGAAAAACUCCUCAGCGGAUCCUUCGCCGACACCAAUCUCGCGGGAUGAGCAGUUGACAGCGCUGAACCUCAACACAACAGCAGCAGCAGUAACAUCACAUAGCAGUAGUACCAACAACAGUCCCUCUCCAACAGCCACAACUCCAACCUCGAAUAGCAACAGCAACAAAAUGAAAAAUGCCACCCCUAUCAACAGUAGUAGCAGUAACAACAACAACCACAACAACAGUAGCAAAAAGACACCCCACGGGAAGCAUAAAAACUCCAGCGAGGACAGCGAUGUGAUUGGGGACCUGAUAGGGGACUACGGCAAGUGGCAGUUUGUGAUGACGUUUCUCCUGUCGCUGUUCCAGGUGCCCAACACGUUUCACAUCUACUCACCCACGUUUCAGGCAGCAGAAAAAAGCCACUGGUGCCGACGGCCGUCGCAUCUCAAUGACGUCUCCGUUGAUCUCUGGCGGAACGUGACCCAGGAAAAGGAAAACUGCCAGAUACUGAACUACGACUGGGACUCGGUCGGCUCCGAACAAGCGCUGCGAAAUCUGAGUAUACCGGGAAAUCUAUCCUACAUGACUUGCAGCUCGUGGGAGUUCAAUCCCAACGAUAAUCUCGGCAAUACGUGGGCUUCGGAAUGGAGUCUGGUGUGCGACAAGGAAUACCUUAAGGACGUGGCGGAGAUGUUCUUCCUGGUUGGAGUGGCCACCGGUGGCAUCACCAGUGGAGUGCUGUCCGACAAAUUCGGUCGUAAAAAGAUGCUUUUCAUCUCGGCUGUCCUGCAAGCUAUAUUUGGCAUCGCGUUGUACUUCGUUGAUUCUUUGGAAAUCCUGUUGAUUCUUCGAGCGCUUCUCGGAAUCGUCUCCGUUUCCGUCACCUACGCUGGACUGAUUCUGGCCAUCGAGUACGUCGAUGGUCAGUGGCGAACCAUCGCUGGAAUGUACAACCUGUUUCCACUCCCUGUGUCCUACAUCAUGAUCUCGGGAAUUGCCUACCUGACACAAGACUUCAGAAGCCUGCAACUCUGUAUCGGAUUACCCGGAGUGUUUCUGUGCUUCCUAUGGUUCGUACUUCCGGAAUCCCCUCGGUGGUUGCUCUGCAAAGGUCGCAUUGCCGAAGUGAAGGAAAUCGUGCGGAAGGCGGCCGCCUUCAACAACCGUCCGUUGCCGGACAAUUUGGACAAACUGCUCAAACCCCCUGCGGACGAUGAGGAUAACGUGGCCGGCGUAUGCGAACUGUUCCGUUCCAAGUACCUCCGACUGGUGACGUUCUGCUUCCUGUGCAUCUGGUUUACCAUGAAUCUCGUCUACUACGGGCUGGUGCUCAACAUGAACAGCUUUGGCGGUAACAUCUAUUUGAAUUCGGCAUUGGCAGGAUUGGUAGAAAUACCCGCCAUAGCACUGGCAAUGUACAUUAUCAACAGAACGGGAAAGAAAUGGCUUUUCUGUGCGACGUUCUUUGCGUGUGCUCUUGCCUGUCUUUGCGCUGCUGUGGUUGAAGGAAAAGAGGAUUAUCUGUCGAUGAAAAUUACCUUCCUGAUGAUUGGCAAAUUCACAAUCAGCGCCGGUAAUACCAUAAUGCCGGUCUACACGGCUGAACUCUAUCCGACUGCAAUCAGAAACGUCGGCGUGGGUGCUUGUAAUCUGGCAGCAGGGUUCGCUCUAGUGCUAACACCGUACCUCUCCAUGCUGCCCAAAAUCGAAGACCACCUUCUGAUGUCUCUGCUAACGGCGUGGUGUAUAUUCGGAGCCAUUGUGAUUGUAUUCCUUCCAGAAACUAUGCAACAUCAUGACCACGAAGAACGCGACGAGGAAAAAGAAAUUGACACGCAAGUCAUGACCUAAAGUGACAUCUCGAACCGUACAGUAAGGUAAGGCACAGUUUGCCGCCACGCUAGAUCCAAGAGGGAACCGCUACUACUGCCAUAUCUAGAAGUUGUUCUAUGUAUUAUCAGAUGUUGCCAACUGGAUUAGUGAGAUAUAGUGAGCGAAUGGGGAGGGUUCGGAGGGAAGUUGUAUGAAAGUUGCAAUGUCGGUAGCAAGGCAUUCAAAUGAAAUGAACAAAAUAUAAAAUUUGUCAAUUGUCGCGUAAGUAUUUAUAACCAGAAACAGUGGAUGUCUAGAGGAUCAUAGUCUCUUUUCGUUUUCCGUAAAAAAGUGAGUGUAUAUUGUGAACUUGAACAUAAAUAGAAGCAUUUAAAUCUCUGAGCGGAAAUAGCGAUAGGAUUCAGAUGAAUGUUAUCGAUGCCAUAACGAGCAGAAAUCAAUAGUCAUUACCAAUUUUACAAUAAUCAAAUUAGAGAUGCUAGUGGAGUAUUUUUAAUUCUCACUUUUAACAGCAGAUUGCAAAUAGCCGACGAAUUUUCGAUAAAAUUUUCUGGCUGGACCAGGAAAUAUGUUUUUACGACACUAUUUGAAUAUUGAACACAUGACGAUUAUUUACAUAUGAACACUUGAAGCUGUAUACGUUGAUCGCCAUACAACCCCACGAAUACAAUAGCCAUGUCGAGUUAAUAGUAUUUAUAAACCGGAACAUCACUGAUUUUAGAUCAUUUUCAUCGUAUAGCAUACAUUCAGUAUUACAAAAGAGUUCCAUUUUGCAACCACUACACUACUAAGGGGAUCACUCAAACCGAAACUUUUCUGAAAUGGUUUCUAUGGUUUUCACUAGAAACGAGGAACUAAUCGAUCACAGGAUGAUGAAUACGUCCCGCGUGACAUCUUUCUAUCAUCUCACACAUAUUCAUACAUAUAAACAUUGCAUUUAUAAGUGUUGCAUCAUUUCUCCGACAGACAUACAGUAAAAAAAAAUCACGAAAGCAGUAGAUAUCUAAAGAUAGGAUGGUAAUCAAUCGAUGUCGCAUUGUGAUAAAUCGGCAAGCAAAAUUGUGAAAAAUUGUAACCGUUAAAUUCAGAUCAUGCUUUCGAUGUUUUUAUCAAAAUGAUGCAAUUCAUCGUUAUAACAUAAAUUCAACCCCUGGGGAACUUUGUAGCUCAAACUAACUGAAUACUAAGAAUAUUUGAAUGUACUUAAACUGUCAUAAGAUGUAUAAUCGAAUUACUAUUCACUAAUGGUGGUGUGUAAUAUAGUUUAGCGGAACAAGAACAAUUUGGAAAACACUUUUAUAGCAAUGUAUUGUCGACCAUGCAUCCUGACAGUUACUGUACUUUGGUGUAUCGGUAUAAAGGGCAGUUGGUUGGUUUGUGUACGCUGCAUGGGAACUGCUGACCAAUUGUUGGUCGACAUUGAUAGGCAUAAACGUUUCGGUUUGGCAUGCAACAUAUCUAAUCCGCUCAAGCAAAAGUGUUACCAAUUUGUGAAGUUUUUUAGAUGUUGUUUUAGACGGCUUUGCUGCUGUAGUGUGCAUUAGCGAGUGUGUGACACUAACAAUUCGGAAAGAGAAUGAACAGAAAAUUUAUGAUUGUUGAACUUGUUUGAGAGCAUUUAUGGACCAGGCUGGCGAAUUCAGCAGUUGGAUUUUACCUAGAUUGAUUUUGUAUAUUUUAAUGGUUUAGUACUUAACUGAGCGAUAAACUACAGGAUGGGGCGCAGACCUGAACACGUGUAGGGAGGGUGUUAUGAAAGUAUACAGAAGCUAUCAGCGCAAUUCACAACUAUAGAGCUAGGAUAUCAUUUCAAAUAUUUAAUGAGAUUGCUACAACAAAUGUACAUAACCCCAUUCUCAUUGAUUGUCAUAUGCCAAAGGAGAUCGAACGAUUGGUACGAGCAACAUCAUGCUGACUAGGAUAACUAUAAUAAAUGUGCU